GAUGUGAACUGGGCCUGAGCCCUGACCUAGAGUGAGGAAACCGUUGCUAGUGAAAACCAGGUCUCCUGGAGACUUCCCUCCCUACAGAUGACAGAAAGAGAUUGUAGUUGAGGUCAGGCUGUCCCUGUUAGAUUUAACCAUGGAGACAUCCCCCCUUGAUGUAUAACCUUCAUUUCCCCGCCUUUAACCUUAAUUGUUUGUUCUCCUAGCACCUACUUGUUGUAAAACUCAAUCAUAUACAACAAAGAGGUUACUAACACAUAAUCAGUCACGUAGUUGGGAGGUAUAAAACUGGGCCUCUCAGAAACAUCAGGGUCCUUGUUGGGAACUGAUUCCCCUUGGACCCGCUGGCAUGAUAAACUGUACUCCACUGUCUUGAGUGUCCUCUGACAUGUGUUUUGUGACUUCAGAUUCCACAGCAUUUCUGGUGCAUCGGCCAGGAAGCCGUUGGAGAGACAGGCCCAUUGAGCCUCUGCCUGCCACUCACUGGGAUGAGAGCCUCUGGGAGGAGAAGGUGCCUCCCACUCCAGAUCGGCUUUGUUUUAGUGACUUAUCCUUCCAGGUGGACUUCACAAGACUGUGGGCAACAGAAGGGAAGCGUGCAGAUUCACCACACCCAGCUCAAGAUAGCAGGGGAGGAAAAGGGACCUUGGACUGUCCAUCCUGACCUGAAGGAAUCACUGAAGACCCGACUUGUCUUCCAUCAGUGGCCACAGAUUCAGGAUGUAGCCGCUGCGAAUAAUUCUGCUGUUCCUGAUCAGCAGGAUGACCCUUCCAGGACUGCAAACUCAGGAUAAUGUGUUCCUGUCCUGGGCCCACUCAUAUACAAACUUCCAUAAUACUUCUAACUGUUAGGCUUGUGGGGCCAUGCCUUUGUCAGUGAUGGAUGGACUUCCUUCAUGGGUGUCUCCCGUGCAGAGCGGACUUUAGCUCCCUCUGCUCAUUUUUGAGACAGCAAUGAGAGGCGUUUGCUUCCUUGGUAACUACAACCUGUCACUUCUUACUUGCUGUAACCUGGACUUUAAUCAAAUUGAUCAAGGCCAUGAGGUGACAUUUGAGGUAAACGCAAGCCUUACAAAAGUGACCAAAGCCUAUACUUUUUACUUAAAAAAAAAAAAAAAGAAUGAGAACUCAAUGGCUAGUCAGAAGGGCAAUCCAUCAGGUAAUUUGAACAAUUUUACCAGGUAUGGGAUGAGUAUUUUUGGAUGACUUCAGAAAAAAGCCAACUUAUUGUCCCUGCCCCAAUCUGUUGGGAACAAAGGGAACAAGAAGUUGGAUUUGGUGACCAUUCCUUGGAUCCAAAACAAUUAAAAUAUAUGGGAUACUUGUCCUCUGAGCAAUGUGAACAAAUAUUAGAGGACAUUUAUCACCCAGAUUUACCAGCUCACUGGCCUGGUUCAGACUGGAAGUACAACCCUGGGAUCCAAUGGGUGGCCCCUAAUGGCACCCAAUGGCUGUGAGGAUCAAAUUUAUGGCCUUGGCUUCCAGUUGGUGGGGUCAGCUACUGCACAUUAGGAUUUGCCUUUGCUCAUGGAAGUAUUAAACCAUCUUUACAACAAGCCCCAGUAAAUUCACCUUAUUUACAUGUUGGGCACAGAGACAUUCUUUGUUAACAA
ensembl:lncRNA